CCCCCUCGCCCUGUGACGAUGAGAUAGACUUGGGGAACCGAGGCCAGGUUCAAUCCCAGGUCCCAGCGCCCAGCCCGAUACCAGCCCGGGAGCGACCCAAACCGUGGCAUCUCCGCCCAGACCGGCCAGACGCGUGGCCGCCUUACCCGCUCCCUCCUCCCAGCCCCUUAAAGGUCACCGAGGCCGUGGCUACCACGGCUAUCUCAGCGCCUCGGGAGGCGCGGGCCGCCCUGGGAAAGGUCUCCUGCGGGCGGGGGACUUAAUUGGAUGUUUCCACGCGGGUGAUAAGAAAGGUCAGCUCCCGCCCCUUCUUCACCGGGGCGAGCGGGCGCGGGUGGGGGGGAGCUCGGCCGCUUAGCAGAGCUCCGCACCGCCCUGGCGUCGGUGUCGGUUUUCCCCAGGAGAGAGAAGAAAAGACAGAAUGCUCCAGGCCUAGAAAAGCAGCAAAACAAGACAAGCUACAAGCAUGCCUUGGCUGACUCAGGACCCACAGCAUGGACUGAUGACCCCCUGCCCUGGGGCCAGCCAAUGAGUAGAGACCAGGACCCUGAAAGUCCACGCCUGGAAAGCUGAUGACUGUUCUAUUGGGAUCCUCCCCUGAGACCUCCAGAUAAACACCCUCAAGACCCAGACGGGGGCAGUAGGCAACUCUCUAUGGAGCACUCCUGUGUCUUCCCCCACCGCCUCCCCCCAGGCUCCUUUUCCUUUCCUCUCUCUCCUAAGCUCCAAGGGCCCUUUUGGCUUUGUAACUUGUUCCCUGAGCGCAUGCAGCUCACUUCUUCGAGGCUCACUUGUUCAACAUCUGUGACUUGCUAAAUAAACUUUUCCUUGUAUUUGAA